UACAGAGGGUGCGAGCGUUGUCCGGAAUCACGGGGCGUAAAGGGCGCGUAGGUGGCGACCCAAGUCGAUGGUGAAAGCUCGCCGCUCAACGGCGAGUCGGCCACCGAUACUGGGUUGCUCGAGCACUGUAGAGGCUAAUGGAAUUCCGGGUGUAGCGGUGGAAUGCGUAGAGAUCCGGAAGAACACCGGUGGCGAAGGCGGUUAGCUGGGCAGUUGCUGACACUGAGGCGCGACAGCGUGGGGAGCAAACAGG
rnacentral:rRNA from 1 species